AUUCAAGUAGCUUAUAUUUAGAGUAUGACAUUGAAGCUGUUACGGAAGUUUUUAUUUAACUCUUGAAUA
rnacentral:tRNA from 1 species